rnacentral:rRNA from 1 species
CUGGCGGCGUGCCUAAUACAUGCAAGUCGAACGGUCUUUCUAUGGAAGCUUGCUUCCACUGAGAAGAUAGUGGCGAACGGGUGAGUAACACGUGGGUAACCUGCCCAUAAGAGGGGGGAUAACAUCCGGAAACGGGUGCUAAUACCGCAUAGUUUUCUUGAUCGCAUGAUUGAGAAAGGAAAGACGGCCUUUGUGCUGUCGCUUAUGGAUGGACCCGCGGCGUAUUAGUUAGUUGGUGAGGUAACGGCUCACCAAGACGAUGAUACGUAGCCGACCUGAGAGGGUGAUCGGCCACAUUGGGACUGAGACACGGCCCAAACUCCUACGGGAGGCAGCAGUAGGGAAUCUUCCGCAAUGGACGAAAGUCUGACGGAGCAACGCCGCGUGAGUGAAAGAAGGUUUUCGGAUCGUAAAACUCUGUUGUCAGAGAAGAACAAGUUGGAGAGUAACUGCUCCAGCCUUGACGGUAUCUGACCAGAAAGCCACGGCUAACUACGUGCCAGCCGCGGC